UAGAGUUUGAUCCUGGCUCAGAUUGAACGCUGGCGGCAGGCUUAACACAUGCAAGUCGAACGAUGACUAUCUAGCUUGCUAGAUAUGAUUAGUGGCGGACGGGUGAGUAACAUUUAGGAAUCUACCUAGUAGUGGGGGAUAGCUCGGGGAAACUCGAAUUAAUACCGCAUACGACCUACGGGUGAAAGGGGGCGCAAGCUCUUGCUAUUAGAUGAGCCUAAAUCAGAUUAGCUAGUUGGUGGGGUAAAGGCCCACCAAGGCGACGAUCUGUAACUGGUCUGAGAGGAUGAUCAGUCACACCGGAACUGAGACACGGUCCGGACUCCUACGGGACGCAGCA
rnacentral:rRNA from 1 species